ensembl:snRNA U6 U6 spliceosomal RNA
GUGCUCCCUUCAGCAGCACAUAUACUAAAAUUGGAAGGAUACAGAGAUUACCAUGGCCCCUGUGCAAGGAUGACAUGCAAAUUUGUGAAGCAUUCUGCAUUUUC